AGCCCUGCAGAAUGCACACCAUCUAUUUGUUUUGCCCUUGUUAUUUUAUGUUUGCUUUGCUUGGUACUGUUAGUAUUAUAUGUUAAGAAUUGCAUGAUUUAAAGUAUGCCUUACAUAGGAAAAGGAAG